UGCGUAACACGUAGGUGACCUGCCCGGAAGUGGGGAAUAACAGUCCGAAAGGACUGCUAAUACCGCAUGUGGUGCGUGGGUUUUGAAGCUGCGUACCAAAGGUGCUCGCAAGAGCGCCGCUUUCGGAGGGGCCUGCGGCCCAUCAGCUAGUUGGUAGGGUAACGGCCUACCAAGGCGACGACGGGUAGGGGACCUGAGAGGGUGACCCCCCACACUGGCACUGACACACGGGCCAG
rnacentral:rRNA from 1 species